ensembl:lncRNA mitochondria localized glutamic acid rich protein
UCCGCAGCCCCGCGCCGACGGGCACAGUCGAGCGCCCGCUCCGCUCCCCGCCGCCGCCGCCACCAUGUCCCUGUGCAGGGCCGCCUCGCAGGCGCUGGCGUUCCGCCUGAGCAGGGCUCCCGCCGCCGCCGGCCGCCUCAAGCAGCGCGCACCUCUUCGCCAGAUGUCAUCUGGGAGCGUUCCUGGCUCUUCUGGAGAGAGUAUGAUUAUCUAUCUACUUGCUGGUGUUGCGGCUUUCAGUGGUUUAUUUUAUGCCUACAGAGUAGUCAGUUCAUCCCGCAGCAGGUUUAUUGACCAUGUGAAUGUUCUUCAUGAGAGAGCUGAGGGGCGGAAAGGCAACCCUUGGUCAAGGAAGGUUUCUGAGGAGGAGAAGACACCUGAAGAAUCUGCUAAAGACCCCUAAAGUAAGCAGUGCUGAAGCCUUUGAAAAGUUUAACGGAAAUAUUUGUGGCAAUCAACCAGCUGAUUCCUGUGUGAAACCUCAUACUCUUCCUUGGAGACAUAAAAGAAACUGUGCAGUUUGUCAUGCCACACACUGCUCAUUAGGACCAGUAUUCAGUGCUGCAACAGAUAAGAUUUAAGUUGCUUAGAGAGACGCUUCUGUGAUUAACAUCUCUGCUGUAGAAAGUAGCACCCAGUCAAAGCACCACUCAGCAUGUCCUAAAUACAUGUGCUAAGAGAAGCAGUAGACUUAACUAAACCAUGCCAGGUGAACUCCUUCUAGGUCUUUGUUGUCUCGUUAUGUACACUGAUUUCUUACUCUUGGUCCAAACUGCUGUGCGUAGUUAUACCUUUGUAACAUUCCAUGCUAAAAUCUAAGUAAAGGGGUUUAAAUCAAGUCAAAAUCUUUUAAAAAUUACGUGUUAGCAUUUUUAAAUUGGAUCACGGGGAAAACAGCAACCUGUUUGCUCUCAAGUUUGGAUUUAAGAUUGUAAGCAUAGGACAUCUGGCUGUACAAUAUCUAAUUUUCCCCCCACAUAAACAUUUCAGAUACUACCCUUCCUUGCACAAAAUAAUAUCCAGGACUAAACAUUUUUAAGGCUCCUUCUUUGGGAAGAAAACCUGUUUGCAAGUGCUACCAAUAGGUACUUUAUAGCAUGACAAUCAAAAUAACGCCAGUUGAUGUUACUGAUCAUGGAUCGAAGUGGUGGCUCCUGCCUCGGGGAUGCUGGGCUCUGCUCCUACCAAAUCUCAAAAUCCCAAUGGAAGGCUAUGCAACAGGUGUUCAAAUGGACAAGGAUUCUUAGGGACUAAGAAAGAACAGAAUAGAUAAAUAAUCUUGUGUUCUUAGUAUUAACUUCAUAAAGAAUACACCUAUUAUGAAUAAUGGAUUUGUAUGACACUGUUCUCCUAACCCUCCAUUGUGCUAAGUGCAUGAGUGUGCAUCUAAGACAAAAUGCUGAGACCUGUUACAGCCACCACAGAAUGGCAACAAUUCUAAACCAGAGCCAAAAAAGGUAUAUUAUAUACUAUUUAUAUAGAAAGUGUGCUUUAUAAGGUGUAUCUGACUCUUUUCUCUCCAAGCAGAACUCUGGAAAAUGUUGAAAGGGAAAUGACAGCAUUAUGACAUUCCUACCUAUGGCACAAAGCAACACAUGCCGCUUCCCCCAUCAUAAAGCAAAUUAUAAUAGUGUUCCAACAAAAAUAUAGCCCGUUGCCCCUGGACCUGCUUAGGAAUAACUGGAAUAAUGCGGAGGCAAAAGCAGGCUCCUGAGCUUCGAGAAGAAAUACCACGGCCUUCUGCUUAAAGGAUAAAGCCACUGUGAUUAAAAGCAAUUUUUGUAGACAAAGCUACUGGAAUAAAAGUCUUAGACUGAUAUUUUGUUGGAUAAGA